GCCUCGUUCGGCUAUCGGUUUAGGCCGCCACACUCUCAAUGUGGAAAGGCGGGUUCGACUCCCGCACGAGGCG
rnacentral:tRNA from 1 species